UUUGCUUUGGGAUCACCGUUAUUUUGGGGAGCAGUGCAGGAGGGAAGAGAGAAAGUGUGGCCUUCUCUCCCCCAUGGGUGGGAUUUUCCCUAGCAUGUAGGGGUUGGGCCUUCCUCAGACCUCUGACAGAGAUAAGAGUUUUUUUCUUGUUUCCCCUUGUCUCUAAUCUCUUUUCAACAGUUUGUUGUUUGUUUUUCUAGAGGAAGCGUUCUAUGUAAGGUCCAGUCGGGAUUGGGAAGUGCCUGGGAGCAGCUGCAGCGUGGAUGGGCCGUGCCCUUGGAGAAGGCUGAGGACAUCGUUUGGGACCAGCUUUUCUCCCAGCGGAGGAUGGCGUGAGCCGGGCUCUGCGGGUGCUGAGGCUGCUCUGGGCUCUGCCAGGGCUCUGCUGGGCUCUGCCCCGGGCACAGCUGGGCUGGCUGUGCCCUCACAUUGCUCUGACAGCUUUGCAUCAGACGAGCCCGUUGGAGCACAGUGCCUGAGCUUUCUGCUUUGGCAGAAGUGCCAUGAGUGGGCCAAAGCUGGCAAGUGAGCCGUGUUCCUGAGGCAGUGCAGUCUGGAGCUGAUGGAUGGAGAAUUGCCCUUCCCACUUCCAAAGCAGAGCAAAAAGCCAGGUCCUGGCCCUCUUCCAGCCAAAGGGGAAAGGGCCUCACCAAGCCUUGUUACCCACAAACAACAUGGUAAAGCUGAACACUAAAGGACCUUGGGGGCAUUAUUCUGGAAUUAAAAAGUUGCCAGCUCCAUGGACAACAGAAUUAUUGUUCCUAACCUGAAUGACAUUGAGCAAAAA